GACGAACGCUGGCGGCGUGCUUAACACAUGCAAGUCGAACGCUGAAGCUCAGCUUUUGUUGGGUGGAUGAGUGGCGAACGGGUGAGUAACACGUGAGUAACCUGCCCCCUUCUUUGGGAUAACGCCCGGAAACGGGUGCUAAUACUGGAUAUUCACUGGUCUUCGCAUGGGGGUUGGUGGAAAGGGUUUUUCUGGUGGGGGAUGGGCUCGCGGCCUAUCAGCUUGUUGGUGGGGUGAUGGCCUACCAAGGCUUUGACGGGUAGCCGGCCUGAGAGGGUGACCGGUCACAUUGGGACUGAGAUACGGCCCAGACUCCUACGGGAGGCAGCAGUGGUGAAGAUUGCACAAUGGGCGCAAGCCUGAUGCAGCGACGCCGCGUGAGGGAUGGAGGCCUUCGGGUUGUGAACCUCUUUCGCUCAUGGUCAAGCCGCAACAAUGGUUGUGGUGAGGGUAGUGGGUAAAGAAGCGCCGGCUAACUACGUG
rnacentral:rRNA from 1 species